GCAGAGGCAAGGACAAGGCAGAUGUCCAAAAAAGGAACAAAUGUUCACCUUCUACCUGCGGGCCCUGGACUCAGCUCUGAGCUCAAACCCAGUUAGGGAGAAACCCACUCCUUGGUGAGCCAAUUCUCUUUCUAAUUUGAAAUUACAAGCAAGACAUGCCCCGAAGAUGAGGGCGAUGUGAGCAGUGGAGGUGGUCGGAACGCUACCUGUUUGCUGAGUCACUCUCAGGAAAGGCGAAGGAGAUUGACACAAAAUUCCACAGAUAGUCAAGUCACGUGACGUUGGAAAAAGACUAAUGAUUACAAACGUAGAUACAACUUCUCCCCAGUUGCCUGCAACCAGCCCAGCGAGUGCUUCCUGACUCUCACCAACUGGUCCACAGAGAUAC